rnacentral:rRNA from 1 species
AUACGUAGGGCGCAAGCGUUGUCCGGAAUUAUUGGGCGUAAAGAGCUCGUAGGCGGUUUGUCGCGUCUGCUGUGAAAACGCGAAGCUCAACCUCGCGCCUGCAGUGGGUACGGGCAGACUAGAGUGCGGUAGGGGAGACUGGAAUUCCUGGUGUAGCGGUGGAAUGCGCAGAUAUCAGGAGGAACACCGGUGGCGAAGGCGGGUCUCUGGGCCGUAACUGACGCUGAGGAGCGAAAGCAUGGGGAGCGAACAGGAUUAGAUACCCUGGUAGUCCAUGCCGUAAACGUUGGGCACUAGGUGUGGGGCUCAUUCCACGAGUUCCGUGCCGCAGCAAACGCAUUAAGUGCCCCGCCUGGGGAGUACGGCCGCAAGGCUAAA